UCCUUAUAUAUCAAUCUAAGAAUAGGUCUUGGAGUUAUUCUAGUGUAUGUCAUAAUGUGAGUGGUUUCUUCUUCUUUUUUUAAAGGAAGCAAAUAGUCAUGGACGGGGAAGGAGAGGAUUAAAAAGAAGAGAUGAAUUUCUUGGGACAAAGUAAAAAUUACCCUGAACCUUUAUCCAGAGCUUCAAAGAAUCAUUGCAUAGAAAUGAUUUUAUCUGGGAGAGGAGAGGCAAAAGACAUUGUGUGAGAACACUUCCCCCACUGUGGCAUUUCCCAUGGAAGCCAAUCCAGACACUGGAAAUCAGAAGAAAGCUCCCGGCCGCCACCUUCUGUGUCAACGGAUCGCCUCGGACCAACACGGUACCUGGUUUUGGGUACCUUCCCGAGUGAGGCACGGAGCUACAAGGUCUCUAGGAUCUUUGGAGUGAGGUCCUUUAUUAUCAAGGACUUUCUGGGCACAGCCUCCCCCAGGGUACAUGUGUCUUGGCAAUUCACCUGCCCUUUCUCCUGCUCUCAGGAGCACCCCUCAUACCUCAGAGGAAACAACUCUUCACGGCCAUGAAGGUCUUGGGGAGACUCAUCUGAGACCGUCUUGGCUCCCACCUGGGAAGGGCAGUCUGGCCUCAGUACGACAGCAGGCUUCAGAUACCAGAUCAAUGGAAUCAGAUCAAUGUAAGGUGGAGCUCCAAUCCCAGUGACUGUAACGUCCAACAAGCAGCAAAAGCUCUCUUUGUUUUAAAUUCCUCAUGUAUGAAAUGGGAAUAUUAUAGCACCCACCUCAUAAAGUGGCUAUGAGCAUAAACAGAGAAUCGUGUAAAGUACCUGGCACCAGUAGAGGCAGCUAUUUUUAUCUAUGAGCCAGUAGGUAGAACAUUUCUGUGCUCUCCCCAUCCUGAAAUGGAGAUGCCUUUACAUCAUCCUUCAUGGCUAUUUUAACGACUUUUGUCAUUUGACUUCUAAGUGCCCAUCAUAAGCUUUCAAUCGAGCCAAAUGCCUGUAAAACAAUAUGAAUAACCAUUAUAUAAACAGUCUCUGCAGAGCUCUUGGGAUCCUGAAAUUUGGUCAGAAUUUUUAGAUCAGCAUUUUAUGAAGGCCACUGAAAAGCAGAGUAUUUUGAGUCCAGGAUUAUCAUGAAACUCACCAUGACAUCCCCCCUGCCAUAAAAUGUUAACACCUUACAAUCAUACAAGAUACUAAGUAGUAACAUACAGGUAGAAUGUAAGAGGUCAAGACUAGAGUUAGGAGAUAUAGAUUUCAGGAUUGGCUCUUCCAGCUCUAAAAUCCUAUGACCCAUGAUGGUGAUCUCCUAGAUUAUAAACUUUUUGAAGGCUUUAUUGAUUUCUGGAAGGAGGUAGAUGGGUGUUAGAAUUUACAGUGAUCUGAAACAGAAUUAAUUCCUAUAUUGCCUUCUGGGCUUAUCUGAAAAUUCUACUUCUCUCUGAAAAUUAACUAGUCUUUCCAAAUAAUGAGCCUUACUGUAAUCUGUCCAUGCAGUGAGCAUCUGUCUGCAUUUCACAGAUUUCUUAUGCAAAGCUCACCCUUCAUAUAAGGGACUUGCAUGCUGAUUUCAAAGUGAUAUAAUAAUCUAGUUAAGGAGAUAAACAGUUUAACCUUGAAACAUGAAGAGCAUCAUAUGAUUAUAAAGCAAUUUAUCAACAUAGACUGUACUUGUUCUCUUUGGUUUUCCUUAACACACAGGGUACAUACUCAAAGCUGAGUAUUUUGUUCUUUUCUGAAGCUUUUUUCCCCAUUCACUUGUUAAACUGCUAAACAUCGUAUCUGUAAGAUGCUGUAGGAAAUAAGAAUUAGAAAAUUCUUGAAUAUGAUCAAUAAAAGUGCCUUUUAUAAAGGAUAAUGAACACUAGUUUAAGAUUCUGACUACAGAUAUCAACAGGAUGGCUGAUCAACAUGAUGGUUCUAUUAGAAAAUGCCAAGAAUCCAAAGACACUUGUGUGAUGAGUCACUGCCAUUUCGCUUCUUCCACAAAUGGUCUUAACCUAAGCAGGACUCUUAAAUCAACAAAUGGUAGUUGCUAGAAAGGCAUUUUUCAAAUUAGCAAUGAAGCAUUAAUUGCUUUUCAGUUUUUAUUGGUAGUCUUUUUAGCCUAUAGCAUGAAAUUUGGAGUCUGAAAGAUGUAGAGAUUGGGCCCAAUCCUCAUCCAAUGUGUAAAUUCAUCCCACAUUUUCUGUGAAUGUCCAGUCCCUUAAGACACCAGUACCAUCCACUAAAGACAGAAUCUGAACCAAAAAUAAAGCCACAUAUGUAACUAAAAAAUUUCUAAUGAUCACAUUUAAAAGUAAAAAAGAAACAGGGGCGCCUGGGUGGCUCAGUCGGUUGAGCGUCCUACUUUGUCUCAGGUCAUGAUCUCACAGUUAGUGGGUUCGGGCCCCAUGUCGGGCUCUGUGUUGACAGCUCAGAGCCUGGAGCCUACUUCAGAUUCUGUGUCUCCCUCUGUCUAUGCCCCUCCCCUCCUUACGCUCUGUCUCUCUCUGUCUCUCAAAAAUAAAUUAAAAUGUUAAAAAAAAAAUUUUAUAAAAAAAAAGUAAAAAGAAACAGGUGAAAUUAAUUUUAAUACUACAUUUUAUUUAGCUUAAUAUUCCCCAAAUAUUAUCAGUUCAGCAUGUAAUCAUACAAACAUUGCUGAGGUAUUUCACAUUCAAGUUUUUUAUACCAAGUCUUCAAAAUCCAGUGUAUUUGACAUUUAAAGCACAUCUUAACUAGGACGAGGUACACUUUAAGUGCUCAAUACUCACAUGCACUUAGUGGCUACUGUAUCAGACAGCAUAGACCUAUAUAGUCACAAAGGAAAAAAAUCACUCCAAUAAGCUCUGACCCUCCUCCAGAAAGCCAUCAUAUUUUCAACAGUGUAGGUAUAAGAAAUUUCUUCUUUGUUUUGCACUGAAAUCUGCAUGCUUUCAAUUUCUACACUUAGUCUGUGUUCUACCUUCACAAUAAUACUUUAAACAAAAUUUUUUUUAACAUUUAUUCAUUUUUUGAUAGAGAGAGACAGAGCAUGAGUGGGGGAGGGGCAGAGAGAGAGAAGGAGACACAGAAUCCAAAACAGGCUCCAGGCUCUGAACUGACAGCACAGAGCCCAAUGCGGGGCUCGAACUCACGGACUGUGAGAUCGUGACCUGAGCUGGUCAGAUGCUUAACCAACUGAGCCACCCAGGUGCCCCACAAUCAUACUUUUAAUACUACUGAAAUGUCACAUUGGCUUUCAGUAGCAUAUCAUGAUGUAUUCUGGUUCUUUUCAAGUUUUCUUCUCUUAAACCAUGUGUCUCUAUUUUUUACUUUUGAAAUUGGAUUUUUUAGAUCAGCUACAGAAUUUUCUAUUUAAAUUUAUUACGUUUCUCCUUGCUAGUUGGCUGAUUGUUCAUGACUGACAAAAUCUCUUUUGGAGCAGAAUCCUCUCAACUAAUUAAUCAGGUAUCUCUUUCUGGUUCAUGUUGUCUAUAUAGGUCAUCAGCACAUCAGCAGUGUCCUCAUUGAAUUCAGGGAGAAAUACGUUUAGGGCAUCCAUGGCUUGUUGUGAGAAUAUUCUUUCCAGGUUAGGUGCCCUCUAUGGCUACCUCGCUUAGGUUACAGUCAUUUAGACAGUUAUAAAGUCACCAACCAACUAAUCAUUUUGGUACACAUUUCUUCAUUUUCCCCAUUGGGACAUCAUGACUCACCUUGUCAAAUGUCCUCCCCAGAUGGUCAAAGUUCUCAGCUGUCAGAACAGGAAAUAAGUUAAUACUUCUUGCUUAAUUCAGUGAACCCAGAGUGAGCUUGGUCCAGAACCACAUUUUUCUCUCCCCAGGCUUCUGUCACUUUUCCUGUUCUUCAGAGUUCUUCAAAAUAAUUGACCAUGGCUCAUGGUUCUCAUCCUUUGGUUUUCUUAUUGCAGGAAUCUUAUAUAAAAUAAGUGGUUGUCUUUCUUCAUUCUUUUUUCGUCAUUCAUUCUUCCCUAAAUUUUCAAACAUUCUGGCGUAAGUUACAUGACUAUAAGUUUUUAACAUUAACUUAUUGAAUGAAAUAAGCUGGAGACAGAGAUAGACAGAGACAGAGAGACAGAAAGAGAAAUUGCCAUCAGGGCAAUUUCUGAAAUCACAAGGGUCUUAUAACUAGGGUAAUUAGAAGACAUUUGCUUCUUGGAUCACAGAAGAGGGAGAACAAGUUUUUGCCAUAGAAAGCAUGAUUCCAAGGGUCUACUGAUAUCAUUUUACUCUCCCUUUAUCUUUCUCCCCAACUGAUUCAUUUUUUUUGGUGGUAGUGCUUGUUCUGCUAUUCUCUUUGUAUUAUUCCAACUUGCUGCUUCUCUUUAAAUUAAAGGAGUAGGCUGAUUGUCUUUUCCAGGAAUAUAAAUGAUAGAUCUGAAGGUUUUGCUUUGUUUUGUUUUGCUUUGUUUUGUUUGUUUUGUUUUGUUUUGUAAGCACAGAAAAGCCACCAAUCACAAGUCUGGUAGAAGAAUAUUUAUUUCCUUCAGCUCCUUAUAAAGUAAUGUUCUAUGUAUGGCCCCAAAUUGGGUCAUGUUGUCAGCUCAUCAUUGACUACAUUGUAUUUUACUUUUCUUUUUGCAAGUCUGGCUUAUUCAGUAUUCAAUGAGUUGCUGGAUGUUAGGGGCUCUAUGUUACUAGUCUCUGCAUUAUCAGCCCUUGUGUUCAAUAGUCACUCCAUAAAUGCCAUGCCAUAAAUGAAUAAAUGAAUGAAUGAAUCCCUUAUAUGCCACUUAAAUAAAACUUUUACCUGAGUGCUUCCUGUUCUGAAAUACUAAUUUACUAGUUAACCUAUUACUAUGUUGGAUAGCUUCCAUGAUAAAAAGCUUUUCUUUUGUAUGAAGCUAAAGCCUACCCUCAAAACUACCAUUUUCCCAUAGAAAACAUCUUUCCCAUGUACUUACUCUACAUAUUAAACUGAAGGCUUCAGGCCUGGUGAAGACAGCAAUUUUGUUUUCAACAGGAAGUACUGUGCUUAUUCCUUUGCUUGUUCAACCAUCUUCAUUCCAGUGGCAUUCCAGCGGCAAGCUUCUGGCAUGCCAACCACACAGGUCAUUUAGGGAGAAAUCCAAAUUCCAUUUAGACACAUUUUGAACUCCUCUAAAUAUUGUACUUUCUCAGGCUUCCAGGGAGCCAGUGUUUAUCACUGGUUGAGUACAGUUACAGAGAGAUCAAGGACUUAGUUUAUUCUGGGUCACAUCCAUUAUAAUGGCCUAGUUUAGGCCAAAGAGUCCUCUUGUUCCCAACCCCUUUCCUUUCGUCUUAGACCGAAAUUUUCAGCAAUGUUGUCCUCCUUCCCAGGAUGAACCCACCCUGGAGCCCAGGCUGUGACUGUUCUUUCUUUACUCCAGAUCAGCAGUGCUUACUUACUCUCAUAGUUCUUACUCUCUCCUAGACCCAUUGCCAGACAAUACAGUACGAAGAACCCAGUAUCGGACACUCAUGUUUGGCUCAGGGCUGGUUUGUGAAUCACGUGUCAGAACAGAACUUUAAAUCUCAUGUCCAACACAAAGAGAGAUGACGCCAGGGCUUUGAAAUGUCUUUAAACACGAAAUAUGUCAAUUCGGUGACCACCCUCCCCUACUUCCCCCGCGAGCUCUGCUCCCUUCUUUCUUCUGUGUUGUUUUGAGAUGUUUAGAGGUUGUGUCAUCUUUGUUUGUGAAACACAAUUUUAGGAUAAAGGUAUGUCAAUGUUGUGAACCUGCACUAAAUACUGCAAGAAACAUGAGACCAUGAUCAUAAUGGCUUUGAUCACAUCGAUUACACUAAUUAAGAAUUCCACUGAGGAGAGUGCUGUGGAAUCAUGUAAACCCUGUGAAUUACCUAAUAAUGAUAGAAAUAUUCAAAGCAUUAGUGAUUAAUGAACAGAUGUGAAGAGGCAAUGCAAACUUAUGGGAAACCAUUUCUAAUGGUGAUGUCAGCAAGGAACGAUUUGCAGACAUAAUUACUAAAAAAUUAUCAGAGAUUUCCUUGUCAAGUAUUUUGUAUGUUUAUAAAGCUGUUGGUGACUCAUUUUAGAAGUCUGGGAGACUUAUUUGAUUUGGAAUCAGGAUUUUAUUAUAGCUUAGCUGUUAUGUAAUAGUUUACUCAGACUGAUGGGGAGAUAUUCUUCCAUGUCAACAUAACUUGUAUGUGUGCAGUGCGAUUUCCUUGCAGUUAUUUCAGCAAUUCAUAUCUGAAUGCUUUCCCAUAUUUUCAUGCCUAAGUAUAUUCUCAGUUGGUAAAACAGAGUUCUUGAGUGGUUAUGAGAUUAAUUAGUCAAUAGAUUACCGCUGACUCUGAUGGGUUAGGGCAUUGGAACAAAGUUGCUUUGGAUUUUAAAGCCGGUAUUGUCAUGUGAAGUGACUGUUUCGGGAAUACCAUUGAGUCAGUGUAUGAGAUUUUUGUCAUAUAUAUGUCAUGUUACUUAGCACCCUAAACCAAAGUCUUCUAUGGCUUUACUAAGGGCGGUAUGACAUUAAUCAAGCUUUAUCCACAUGCCCUCAAAAUCCCAAUGUUUGAGUGCAAAGUCAUCUGGGUACAUCCAGUUUUUAGGUUGGCUGGGAAACUAUUGUUUGAUCAACACCUCUAGUUGCUAACUAGAAAGAAGCAUUUCAUUUGGAGUUUCCAAAAUACUAAUAGCAACCAGAUAGACAUUAUGUCUGUCCUUUGCCUCAAAUUUUAAUGAUGUUGUUGUCUCCAGAACAACUCCAAAAGAAACAUAGCCUGAAAAAUGUGGUGCUUUCCAAGAAAGGUUGGGUGUUAUCUUUGCUCUAAAGGGGACAGUGUGGAGAAAUAAUGAAAUAGAAUGAGCAGAGAGGGCUCCUGUAUUCUGUUCCUGGUUCUUCAACUGCCUAGCUGCUACUGUACCAUUGAUAAUUUUUCUGGUUUCUUUUUGUAUAAGUUUCUUUAUCUGUUGACUCAGGGAAGCAGAAUUUGACCAUGCAGCUAUAUAAUUCUUCUGAAUACUUGCCUACAUGGGCUUAUAUGUAGAUAUGGGAUCUUAUUUAAACACUUGUAAAUGGGAUUAUUUUAUUACUUGAUAUCCUACGUGAUAGUCCUUUCUGCCUUUGUAAUAUAUAUUAGCAUGGAGAGGAACAAGGAGGGAAGGAGAGCAUAAUGAAAAAGGAGGAUUUGAAACAAUAGGUGAAAAGUAAUAGACUUGUUCCUUUGGGUAAAUGAAGGUCAAUAAUGUAUUUUGGAUGAUAGCUACGUAAGUCUUCAAUGCAAACAACAGAAAUGCCUCUGUUUUGUGGUAAUGAAUAAUGAAGAACAUUUUAUGAUCCAGAAAAGUCAGAAAGUCACUGUAUAAAGGCAUCACUUCCUUUUGGCCAGUUUUUCAUUUACAAUAAACAAAGCUUCUAUUUUAAUUCCUGAAGCACACAUUGUCACGCAAGAUGGUCCCAAGAGGAAGGAAUUGUGCUUCCUUUUGGCAUGUUUUGGAAGUUUUCUAAAGCAGCAAUGUGCUCUACCCUUUCAUGGUGAAUGUCCAUGCAUCCAUGUAAUACCUCGUGGGAUAAGGCUGAAUAAGAACAGGGACAUGCGAGUACUUCCUUCUCUGGUCCAGUCUAUUUUCAAGUCUCAUCUUCAGCUUCUUCCAUAUUCUAAUGUCCAGUCAGCCUGUGGCACUGGAAAAGCCAUGCCCCCUGCAGUCUACCUAGUUGUUGAUGCUCUUCUCUCUACCUCUGUCUGUCAGACUCCUGCCCAUUGUCUAAUCUUCACUUCACAUUUCAUCCUCUUGAAUCAUACUCACCUGCCAACUUUCUUAAUCCCAAUAACGUGCCACGUUUCCUCCCUCCGCCGAAUUCUAACUGCUUCAUGCUCGACUUUAUCUCUCUACUCUAUUCCCAAGGGACCCGGAGCAGAAAGUGUCUGGCAUUGUUACUGUCGGGCUUGAACAAUUGUAAAGGAAUGAAUGACUGGUAUGUACCUUGCAUGUCCUUCUUGUGAUUCCUGGGGACAAAGUCUAUGAUAGAUUCCUCUAUGUCUCCUAUAGUGUCCAGCCAGGUCCAUGUAUAUGUAGGUGCUUGGUUAUCAGCUGAACUGAACUGUGCCUCCUGGAUUUCCUUGAGUACGAGAAACUAUGAGCUUGUUGCCAUUUAAAAUAAAACUACAAUGACAGGUUUUUGGAUCAUUGAGUAUCUAAUGUUGUUACAUUGAUGCUGUAUAGGGCUUCUGAAAUAUUAGGAUAUAACCAUACUAAUGUUAUAGACUACCUAAAACCAUGUUACAACAGAACUGCAUAAGUUGUUUGUAGUCUCUGGAUAUGACCAUUUGAUUUGUUGGACAAGAAAACAAGGAGGUGUCUACUAUCCUCAGUUAUUGCUGUUAGAUCAGACGCUGGGUGGCAAGUCCUCGUGCUCUGAGUCCAGGGCUCAUUUCCUACAACUUGCUGCCUUGGCUUUCCCAGAACAUGAAGAUCAGAUUAAAAAUAAUAAGUCUCUGAGCAGAUUUAAGUACUUGUUUGCCACUGGCUUGAGAAAAUUGGGUGCAGUGUUCAGCAAAAGUAGUUUCCUUUUUAUUUAGUUGCAACUCUUUAAGAGCUCUUAAUUUUAAGUCACUUGCAUUAAAGUGGGUAUUUGCAUCUGAAAGCAUGUCUCUGAUUCUUCAAGGUACUUCAGAGGUCAAAUUUCACUAUGAAACUACACUUCCUUCAAAAUAUACUUUUAGGUGCCAGAGAUUCCUUCUAGCUGAGUAAUGAACAUUUCUUUAGUAUUAAACAAUCACAGUCAUUGGAGGUUAGAAAGAUCUUAAGACUAUCAACUCCACGGAUCUUAUUUUAUAUUCAAGGAGACUGAAGGUUAGAGGGGUUCUAACUCUAUAAACGCUCUUGCUCUUCCAGCAGCCAAGACCAGGAAUAGAAAUCUUUCCAAGAUAACAUAUAGCUAUCGUCAUCUGUGUUUAAAGGCUGAAGAAUAUUAAGGAAUCCUGGGUCUUGCCCUCAGGAGGGUUAUAUGAUAAUGCUACAGCUAUUGGGAAAUUCAUUUGCUAAUGAUCAUUGAAGAGAUAUUUCCAAGGGUAAACAAGCAGGAUUCAGACCCUGACUUGACCUGGAUGAUUCAAGGAUGAAUGUUAGAGACAUCAAGGAGGGUGGUGAUGGAGGAAGGAGCUGUUGUUAAAAUAACCCCAGGCUUUGUCAUGGCCACAGCCUCUAGCCAGUGAGUUCACAGAAGUCUGGCACCUUCUUUCACUGAGUGUCUCCAGCUUUGAGGACACUGGUCUACCUCAUAUUAGUGAAUGUGUGUUAAAUGAAUAAAUGGCCUGAUAAGAGAGUGGUGGUUAGAUCUUUAUUUAAAAAGACAGAAAGGUGGGUCGCCUGGGUGCCUCAGUCGGUUGAGAGUUUGACUCUUGAUUUGGACUCAGGUUCAUGAUCCCAGUGUCCUGGGAUCUAGUCCUGCAUUGGGCUCCAUGCUGAGUGUGGAACCGGAUUAAGAUUGUUUCUUUCACCCCCUCUGCCUCUAUCCCCAACUUACAUGCAAUCUCUCUCUCUCUAAGAAAUAAAAAAAGAAAGGAAAAAAAGAAAGAAGAGGAACCAAAUAAAAAAUGAAUAGCACACUAAACAAUACCCCAAAUAUAUCUCUAGUACUGGGUCAUAAAUAUUUAAGGUAUCAUUAAAGGCUUUGUUAACUAAAUCUGGAUUGAGAAAUUGGACUUGAGUUACUUAGGUAUGAAAAACAAAGCAGACAUAAAUAAAUCACGCAAUAGAAAUCACAAAAACAGUGUGCAAGAGAUCAGAUAAUGAUGCAAAGUUGGGCUCUCAGUGUUUGCUUAUUCAUUUAUCCAUUCAUCCAUCAAACACCUGCCUAAGUGCCAUUUGGUGGGAUACAAAAACGUCAAGGUGAUUGCCUUUGCGGAGCUCAGGAAUCUACUCCAACUGUCCCCCUUCUUACACCAAAUUUAUAUGUUCUAUAGUAUAAAAUAAAAUGAGAAAAUGAGAAAACGUUGAAUGGAAAAUAUCUUAAAGGAAGUUUGGCAUUAUUCAUCAUGUAUUCUUAAUAGGAGUUUAAUGGUGUUACUUAAUUUUUAAUUUUGUCUCCAUACCUGGGAAUUUGAAAAUGAUUCUGGCAUUUCCUCCAAACAAGAUACCUUUCCUUCAAAGGCAUUUGUGCAUCUCAGGAAUGCAGCGAGUUGAGGCUGCCCUUCCAGCAGGUCUAAUGUCAUAAACCCUGCAGAAAUCCUUGCUGUGGUUGGGCACAUUCAGAGCUUUCAGUAAGUCCACACACACUUGCUCUGUGCCUGCAUCACCCACAGUUUAGUUAAGAAAACCCACCAGCAAAAUGUUUUGGGAAUGAGAUUAUCAUUCUACUUGGAGUACCCUAAUAUUUCUAAAAAUGCCCAUAUCAAGCAACUCUGAAUGACUACCCAAAAUGUAGACAGAGUAAGAGAGGAGUGUGCUUUAUCUAAAAUCGACUAAUUAUUAGAAAAUUACUAGUCUAUGCUUAGUGUUCUAAAUCUGACAUCCAUAUAUUUUUUAUUUCAUUUUUGGUGACCUCUACAGAAAAGCAAAAAUUCUUAGGAGAUUUUGAUUAUGUAUAAAAUGACUAUGUAUAAAAAUGAUGAUUAUAAUGAAAGCUCCUGAGCAGGGAUGAUCAUCAAAAUGUCUAACUACUAGACUUACAUCAAACAAUCAGAAUCGUGACCACAAACAACUGGUAUGUUUGCACUGGUGAAGGUUGGUUAGAUAUCAGCCCCACUUCUGUGUUGCAUUCACUGAGCUGUUACAUAGAAAUGACACCUGAACUAUACCUGUGUAUAGUUGGAGAUGGACUGAUGUCCAUUACAUGGACAUUACAUUACAUUACAUGAGAUGGAGAUCAGCAUUACAUGAAACAAUUAAAGAAUACUAAUGUUUGUUAACUAGAUGGAUACCAAUUUCAAACGCAAGUGUAUUUAUUGUUUGUCUCCUUUCGUCAAUUUUUCCUUCUCCAAUGGAUUAUUUCUAUUAGUAUGAAAACAUAUUGUAUUUUAUCUUCUUGCUUAAAAAUCCAAACACGCUUUCUUUAUGUUAUACCAUCCUGUGUCUACCUUGUUGUAUUUCUUUUCCUGAGAGCAAAAUUCCUGGAAGGAGUUUUUCCACAAUCAGGAAACGUCUUCCUUCUCUUCCUUCACUUGCUUUUACAUCCCCUUCAAUCAAGCAUUCUUCUCUCCUCUGGAAAUGCUACUGUCAAAGUCACCAAGAACAUGCUCAUUGCCGAAACUGAUGGGCACCUCUCAGACCUCUUCCAGGUGAAUGGAAGUAGCAUUUGGUUCACUUGCCUUCACUCUCCUUAUGGAAAUGCUUCCUUCCUCAGCUUCUUUUUUCUUUUAAGUUUGUUUGUUUUGUUUGUUUGUUUGUUUGUUUGUUUAGAGAAUGAGAACAAGUGGGGGAGGGGAGAGAGAGAGAGAGAGAGAGAGAGAGAGACAGAGAGAGAGAGAGAAUCCCAAGUAGGCUCUGUGCUGUCAGAGCCUGAUGUAGGGCUUGUACUCACCAACAGUGAGAUCAUGACCUGAACUGAAAUUACGAUUCAGAAGCUUAACCGACUGAGCCACCCAGGCGGCCCUCCUUACCUGGAUUCUUGAUAUCACUGUCUCAAGUUCCUCCUACUCCACUGGCUGUCCCUUCUCAGUAUUUGCUGGAUCCCUCACUUCUUAGCUUUCAAAUGUUGGAGGACUGUAGUGCUUGGUCCUCAGACCUAUUCUCUUUUCAAGCUGUACGUAUUCUCUAUGUGAUCUCAGCCAGACUUUACACAAAUCUCCCCAUCCGGGAGACUUUCCCUGAACACAAUCUCAGCAGCAGCUGCCAAAGUCAGUCUUAGAUCCUUGUCCUACUUUGUUUCUCUUCAUUACACUUAUUGUCACACGAUAUUCUAUAAAUAUCCAGCAUAUCCUUAUUGAUUAUUGUCUUGUUUCUUCCACUAAGAACACAGCUCCAGGAAAGUAGAGACUAUCUGUCUCACUAAUGUCUCUUUAAGGCUAAAAAGUGCCUAGCCCAGAGUAUUCACUCAAUAUAUUUUGGUUGGAUAAACCAAUGAAUAUGUACAAAUUGAAACUGAAAAGACCAAUAAGUGAAAUCUGUUUCAUACUGUGUAAUUUAUGAAAUGUGAUCCUUUUUUUUUAUUUGCAGUGACAGCUUAUGUCAAGGGUUGGUCAGGCCUGCCAUGGGUCAAAUCCGGCCAUGCUCAUUUGUUUACAUAUUGUCUGUGGCUGCCUUCACAUUGCAACAGUGAAACGAUAGAGUCAUGGUGUAUAACCGGCAAAGUUGAAAACAUUUGGGCCUUUCUAGAACAUAUUUGCUGACCCUGGUUUAUGUAUGUCAGGCGGACAGUUUAAUGUAAAGGGUAAGAGUGUAGAUCUGGGUCUAGAUGUCUUGGGUUCAAAUCUUAAUUCCCCUCCUGACCAUCUAUGGCCUUGGUUAAGUCAGCUAUCCUCUCUGUGCCUUGGUUUUAUCAAAUGUGAAAUGGGAAUUAAUAUCAGUACUAACCACAUUCGGGUAGUUGUGAAGAUAAAAUGAGUUCAUAUAUAUCAAGUCCUUAAAAUCUUCCAGAAACACACUUAUUAACAUUAUUGUGUGGUAAGAAAGCAAUUGAAACUGGUUCGAAGACAAACAUCUGAGUAUAGGGAUGUGUGCUUAAUUUAUCCCUGGAGACAGUACAAAUGUCUAAAUACAUCUGCCUUCUCUGCUGGUUCAUUCUCUUGAGUCCUGGGUUAAGUUGGUAGGAACAGAUCCAUUUUCCUUCUGAUGCAGAUGGAAAAAUUUACAUGCAGACUGUGCCUUUGCUAAACGAAUCUUUGUGGAAUACAUACACAAAACAAAUAAAUUGGUGUGUGUCAUCUCCUCUCUGUUUUGAUGGAAUUCAGGGGAAAAACUCAGUUGGAAUCAGUCACACAGGCAUUCACGUGGGUGUUUAUGUGGAGAUUUGUCUGACGCUCCUUUUUUCAUUUGCUUUUACGCUAUCAGAUAGGUCAUGUCCGAGGCACCUUAGGAUGUCUCCUCAAGCAUGCUUACAAAUUUCCUCCCCUCGUCUUCGUACUUGAAAAUUCUAUGUAAUUUGUCCUGCUUUUCAGUGCUUUCAAGUUCUUCCUUUUCCAGGAUGGCUUCCUGGUUCUCCCAACUUCCCAAGUGCAGAGAGAUCUCUAUCUUUCGAAUGUCUGUCACCCAUUCUCUUGGUCCCUAGAAGAAGAUACUUGUUACCUUCUUUUUUUUUUUUUCAUCAUGUACAAAAAAUAUUCUAUUUUCACAAACUAGAGUUCUAUUUGGAGCAGGGGAUUGAGUCUUACCUUCUUGGUGGGCU